rnacentral:lncRNA from 1 species
AAAUUUUGAGCAAAAAAUUAGUGUUCUCUUCUUCUUUGCUGCUAUUGAUUAUCUGUGGAAAAUGUGGUGAAGCUGGAUAAAUCUCUUGAUUGAUUAUUUUUAUAGGUACCAUCUCUGGAGCACAAUGGAAAAGUCAUUGGAGAAAGUCUUGAUCUGAUCAAAUACCUCGAAAGCAACUUUGAGGGGCCUUCACUUGUCCCCAGUGUAAGAUAUCUAGAAUUUGAUUGUGCCUCAAGUAACAUGACUUUGUCUCUCAGAAAUUUGACCAGAGUGAUGCUGCGAAAUUGUUUUUAGGAUGACCCUGAGAGAAAAAAGUUUGGCGAAGAAUUAUUAACUUAUGUUGAUACCUUCGUGGGGUCCUUGUAUCGCUCAUUGAAAGGAGACACGGUAAAAGCAGCUGGUAAGACUUGGAAGAUUCUCCCGUUAGUGACUGUUUUUGUUCAUGAAUUUACGCUGAACGAAUUUGGUUAACUGCAUCAGAUGAGCAGUUUGAUUACUUGGAAAAUGCUCUUAAGAAAUUUGACGAUGGGCCAUAUCUUCUGGGUCAGUUCAGUUUGGUAAGUUGAAUGUACAAUGUAUCUACAUGCCAAUUAAUGUUUUUGUAUUUCUAAUAAAAUGAGCUAGUAGUAACACAUAAGUGCUUAAGUAAUGGAUACAAAUUUGUGAUAUGCAGGUGGACAUAGCCUAUAUCCCAUUCGUUGAGAAGUUCCAAGUCUUCUUAUCAGACGUGUUCAAGUAUGACAUCACAGCUGGGAGGCCUAAACUAGCAGCAUUCUUGGAGGUACAUUAACAAGUCAUAGAAUUGUAUAAUGAAUGUCAUGGAUUCCAUUGUCUGAGCUUUAUCCCAUGUACGGAUGACUGUCUCUCAUCUGUUUAAAAACAAACUUAAACGUUUCAUGAGGCUAAGCUAGCUGUUCAAGUGGUUUCCGAGCAAGAAUUCUAAGCAAAAGCACUCCGUUAACCACUAUCUUAAAAUCGGAUUCGAUAGAGGACGUGCUCCUCUGUAAUAUCUCAUAAAGAUGGUGAUUAUUAUGGUUGUUAUAUAUAUCCUUGUGCAGGAAAUCAACAAGAUUGAGGCAUACAAGGUAACCAAAGCUGAUCCAAAGGAGAUUGUUGCAGCGUACAAGAAGAAAUUCCUGGUACAUUCUCUUUUGCUGACCUACAAUUCGAAAUUUGUGCUCAGUCGUUCUUUCUAUAUUCAUUAUGCUGGUUUGAUAACCUCUGCGUAAUACUUUUCGUUACAGGAGCAACAGUAAACCUGCGAAAUAUUCUGCUGCGGACGCCGUAUAAAUAAGUGGCUGAGCACAUCAACAGAUUGUUCGUCAGCCUAAUUACGUAUGCAGAUUAUGUAGUCUUGUUAUAGAUACGGACUUGUGUGUAUUUGGAUAUUUGUCUUUGUUACAUGAAUAAAAUUCGGGUCCUCGGAUUCUGUUCGGUGUUCGGGUCCAGCCUCUCGUAAUCUAUCAACAAUUUCUUCAGAAGAGGGAAGUUUCUUUGCAAAGCAAAGUACGAUAAUUACCAAACAAUAUAGUCCAAACCACAUUGGCCAAAUGUUUUUCUAUAUAUAUUUUAUAAGUCGAAGUUCUCUAUCUUUUCUUACACUACUCUUCAAAUAAAACAAGGCAAAAUGCUUCUAAUAUCAUAUCACGUCGUAAUGAAAAAUACAUAUACUAAUCUGAGAUAGAAGAGAUCAACAAAUUCCAUGUUUCAACAAAAAAAUGGGGGAAAACUAACCAAAAGCCCCAAAAAAAGUUUCCUUUUAAUCAUCAGGACAAAAGUUUUCAAAAAUACCAAUGCUACCCUUCAAAUAUCUAUACAAAAUUGGCCAAGUAUUCAGUAAAGUUCACGUGGUAUUCACCAAAGAAUACAUCCAAAGAAGAAAAAGGAGGAUUGACACUUUCAGAAAACAUUUGAAUGCAAAAGUUAAGGUGGCCAUUGCAGCAGCCAAGACAACAUGAAUUCACAUGACCUUCAUUAAAGCAAAGACAAGUCAGCCAGCUUUCAGAAAUAAUGCUGACAACUUUCGUGCUGUCACUAUUCAAAAAGUUGUAAAUAGAUGAAAAUUUAUUUUGUUGUUUAGGAAUUAGGUUUUGUAUAUAAGGGAGCUUUUCCUCUCAUGCAGAAUACACGAAAUAACACACAACACGCCUCAACAUCUCAACACCUCAACACCAUACUCACAUCAUACUUCAACCUACAAACACUCAAGCAUCCGAAACCUUCCUAGCAUCCUUUGUAAACAUUCUAUACAUCAAUAAAAGUUCAAGUGUACAAAUUCAAGCAAUCUUCAAUUCUUAAGUAAGCUUUCUUUUCUGUCUUUAGUGUGUUUGUUCAAUUAGACUUCUAGUCCAAAAUAGGGAAACACUAUUUUCAUUAUAUUAUUAACCUGUUAACCCGACGAUCAUACUUUGUUCGAGCACUCUGUUAUAGUUGAAUGCUUGCCAUACAAAUAACUGGACAUUAAUCAGGGUACUUCUGAGUGAGUAUUUAUAGUAUAGAGAGUAUUAAUAUGAUAGAUUUUGAUUCUGAAGAUUCAAGUAGUUCAAAUGGUGAUUUAGAAGAGUAUAUAUGUUCAUUCAUAGAAGAACAACAUGAAGAAGAAUAUAAAUACAUUAAUUUAGGUUGGCCAGAAAAUGUCAUAAGUGUAGCAAGUUAGUUGCAAAUAAAUACUAUAAUACAUAUUCAAUAUUAUGUGAAAAGUGUUAUAGUAAUAGGUUAUUAGAAGUUAAUUCAGCAGAAUCACAAGAAAGUACUGAAAUAUUAGGAAAUACUGUUCAUAGUAUAGAAAGGCCAAAAAAAUAGUUAUUUAAUUACCAUAAAUUGUGAAAUAGAAUUAGCAAAAUAACAUAAGAUACAAACAACAGCUAUGAUAGAUACAGAGAAUACAAAGAGUGUCAUAAGAGAAGAAUUAGCACCAGAAAAAUAUGGACAAAAAUUAGCAAAACCAGUAAGAAUAACAUAGUUUGAUGAGAGACCGGUUUACUUAACAGAUUGCAUUAAUAAUGAAUCUAUUAAAGUAGAAAAACAACAAUUUAAUUUACCAUUAACAUUUGUUUCAUCAGUAGGAUCAUACGCAUUCAUUUUAGGUUUAAAUUGCUUGAAAAGCUUGCAAGGUUUUUUUUAUUUAUGAACCUUAACAUAACAUUUUUCAAAAGAGGUAUUACAAUAGCUGAUCAAAGUAAUACUGUAGAAGCAUACAAAAGCAUAAGUGUAGAAGAAUUUAGUAGUCAAGAUAGUUAUUAUUUGGAAAACUCAAAAGAAAAUGAUGAGCAUAAUAACAUAGAAGAGUUUGAGGAAGAAUUAUUUGAACAUGAAUAUCCGAUUUUAGAAGAAAGAACCCAUAUAAAAAUAUUACAAUUAGAUAAAUUAAAGAGUUUAGAAGAAUUAUUACAAUUACCAGAACAAACUAGGAUCAUAGGAGAAGACCCACAUUUACAUUGGAGUAAAAAUAAAAUAAUAGCAAAAUUAGAUAAAAGAGCUUAUUGACCUCAUAGAUAGUAAGCCUAAGCAAGUAGAACUCAGAUCAUUAGAAAUAGUUGAGCAAUUAAGAUUAGAAGUUCAAAAAAAUUCAAUUAUUGCAAAAUGAGUUGAGUGAACAAGUAGAUAAGUUGCAUAAUAAAAUAGAUAAAUUAUUAGUUUAAUGACCGAUUCUAGAACUAGCAGAAAAUAUAUCCAAGCUUUGAAAGAAAUUAGUAAGCUAGAUAAAGAACCAGUAGGUUUAACAGAUUUUUCAACACAAGUAGCUAGUAGUAAUAUUCCCAUUAGGCAAACUAAUUUAAUUAUUCAAUUACUUUUAAGUUUGGCUAAAAAAUUAGAUCAAGUUGAAGAACAAAUACCAUAAAUAAAUCAAGUUUUACAUAACACAUCUCCAUCACUUCCACCAUUUUUGUUAGAAAAAUUAGAAAAUUUAACUUUAAGUACAAAUAAUCAUAUUAGAAGACCUAAGAUAAAUCAUUUUGAUAACAGAAAAUGGAACUCUUUAAGAGAGAAAAGAAGUAGUUAGAGUUGAAGAUAUUUAUCCAAAUGAAGAAGAAGCACAAGAAUUUAUUAGAAGAUGAUUUGAGAAAACACAGAAAAAUAAAUAUAAUUUGUACCAAUUAGGUUUAUUUGAAAAUAGAAGUAGGAUUGUAAGUAGCAUCAGUCAAGAUGAAGUUAGAUGUAUUGAUAAAGAAGUUAUACUUAAUUUACUUAGUAAGGAAGCAAUUAUGCAUUUGAGAAAAUCAAUCAGGUACAAUACAAUUACAAGAUUAUAUAGCUAAAAAUGUCUUAGAAUUUCCAGGUAAGUUAGAAGACAAAAAACAGUUACAAGCAUUUUUAGGAUUGUUGAAUUAUGCAAGAAAUUUUAUCCCUGAUUUAGAAAGAAAAAUAGCAGUAUUACAUAAUAAAACUAGCAAAAUAGGACAAAAAUAUUUUAAUAGUGAAGAUAUUAAAUUAGUUCAAAUAUAAAAGAAGAAAUUACUAAACUUAAGCCAUUAACAUUACCAUUAGAUGAUAGUUCUAAAGUAGUCGAAACAGAUGCUUCAUCAUUAGGAUGAGCAUGUAUACUAUACCAGAAAAAGAAUAAGGAGUCACCAAAGUCUAACGAACAAGUUUGUAGAUAUUCAUCAGGAAAAUUUAGUGAUGUACAACCAAGAUUACCAUUAAUAGAUUUAGAAAUUUUAGAAAUAAUUAACUCACUUGAAGCAUUCUCUUUAUUUUUACAUAAUGAAGUAUUUACGAUUAGAACAGAUUGUCAAAAUAUAGUUUCUCAUUAUAACAUACCAGAUUCGCAUGACAAGCUCGAUUAAAUAGUCGGAUGACCAUUAUAACAACUAGACAUAAAACCUUGCACAUGGAACUCGACAUGUUUUAGCAUGACGGCCACUCACAGUACAAGUAUAAACUCUUAACGGCUGAACUCAGAGGUACCUUAGUUAAUAUCCAUUUAUUUGUAUGGCAAGCAUUCAACUAUAACAGAAUGCUCGAACAAAGUAUGAUUGUCACACCCGAUCCCGACAUACAUCCAUGAUCGACACGUGACAGAAGAUUGUAGGGGGAUGCCAGGAAAUACAAACUGGAAUACUGAACUGAAUAUAUAUUUAAGAAAAGGUAUAUGGAUUAGUAACCAAAUGUAGUGAUAGGAUGAUCACAUUUAAGUGUUCUCUUCACUUUGUUCUAAAUUUAAAUUCUAAAGGAGCUACCUAACUUAGGUAGUUUUACCGGACAUCCUUCACAAAAACACAAGAUUUUAUUAUAUUUUAAUUGUAUACAAAUCGACUCCAUGCCAUUUUAUUUAAUGUGAGAGGUGUUGUAAUUAGAUAGUCCUAUGCUCCACCCUAGUUUUUAGACUCUUCCAAACUUGUUGGUGGCCAUACAUUACCGACUCACUAGUGACCAGCAGAAUGAUUAGUUCACACUAUUAAAAUUCGGAUAAAUUCGUCAUCCUUAAUUCUCCUCUCUAAUCAUCCGACCAACACCAAAACCCAGAUCAGGCGAGAUACUCAAAAUCCAACUGAGAAAUCAAGUCCACGACACUUAUCAUGCACAACCAUAAGUCGCGCAUGAUCAGCAUAUAUCGUAUCCUUUAUAUGUAGAUAUUAUUUCGUCACUGCUGCCGACUCCACCGCCACCUCACAGUCCUCUAUAAAACGGCCACCCACUUUGUACGGACACAUUCUGCGCCAAAUUCUGAUUGCCAAAAAAAACACAAAAAAUCUCUGCAGAGAACCAAAAAAUGGCGUACAAGUACGAUUUCUCAUUUUCGUGGUCUUUCUUUUUUCUGGGUCCAUCUGAAUUUCUGAUUUUUUUUCUUGUUGUAAAAUUAAUCCAAGAUUGUUUUGUUUCUUGGUGUUGCAGGCAUGAGGAACUUCCUCCACCGUUGGAUUCCACUUCCUCCCCCCCCCCUCUCUUUGACGGCACUACAAGGUUUACCUCUUUCCUCCACUUUUUUGGUCUGAAAUGGUUGGUUACAAAUCCCAUUGCUCAACUGAUACGUUCAAAUACUCACGAUAUAUACUGAAAAAUGAUUAUUUCAGCGUUUGAAAUUUGUAAUGUGAUCAUUUCAGCCAAUUUUCCCAAGAUAAAACACAUUUUUGAGGCUGUUUUCGCCUUCUGUCUCGUCCGAAUUUCAGUUUUGGCCACCUUGUUUUUUAUUUAUCUCAUUUUGCUCACUAUUUUUGUUCACUGAGUUUCGUUUUGUUCAGUGAUUACCAUGUUUUGAUGUGUAUUGGUUGCUUUGUGUUUUGAAGGCUGUACGUAAAUUACACAAGUCCAUUUGCACAGCGGGUUUGGAUCACUAGGAACUACAAGGUUUGUUCUCUUUUUUCACCAUAUUUUUCGUUUUUGGAGCUUCUGGCAAAGGCCCUGAGAUCAUUCAAUUUGUUGUUUGAGGAAUUGGCUAAUAUGAUGAAAUACAAAUCCCUAUAGCGGAAAUGAUUAUUUUUCAUUAUAUUUGAUGGAUAUGUCGUGGUUAUUUGAUUUAAAUCAUUUCAUGAAUUGGUAAAUUGAGAAUUAAUCAGAACCCAUGUCUUAGUGUUUGUUUUUGUCGAAAUUUUUUGAGUUGCAGGGUUUGCAAGGCAAGAUUAAGUUAGUGGGUAUAGAUCUUGAAAACAGGCCUGCUUGGUACAAGGAAAAAGUCUACCCCGGAAACAAGGUAAAAUAUUGAGCAAAAAUUAGUGUUCUCUUCUUCUUUGCUGCCAUUGAUUAUCUGUGGAAAAUUUGGUGAAACUGGAUAAAUCUCUUGAUUGAUUAUUUUUAUAGGUGCCAUCUCUGGAGCACAAUGGAAAAGUCAUUGGAGAAAGUCUUGAUCUGAUCAAAUACCUCGAAAGCAACUUCGAAGGGCCUUCACUUGUCCCCAAUGUAAGAUAUCCAGAAUUUGAUUGUGCCUCAAGUAACAUGACUUUGUCUUCUCAGAAAUUUGACCAGAGUGAUGCUGCGAAAUUGUUUUUAGGACGACCCUGGGAGAAAAAAGUUUGGCGAAGAAUUAUUAACUUAUGUUGUUACCUUCGUGGGGUCCUUGUAUCGCUCAUUGAAAGGAGACACGGUAAAAGCAGCUGGUAAGACUUGGAAGAUUCUCCCGUUAGUGACU